rnacentral:sRNA from 1 species
AAGAGCUAGUCACUGUCAUUACCCCCGUGUUGGGAUAUGAGAAUACUAGUGUUGA